CAAACAGAGAGCCGGAAAUAUCCGAAUGGGGCAACCCUGAAAACUGCCUGUUGAAUAUAUAGACAGGAAAGAGCGAACCUGGCGAAUUGAAACAUCUUAGUAGCCAGAGGAAAAGAAAUCAAAAGAGAUUCCCCGAGUAGCGGUGAGCGAAAGGGGAAGAGCCUAAACCAAGGGGUAUACCUCUUGGGGUAGUGGGACAGCAACAUCGAAUCCAGAGACUAGACGAAGCAGCUAAAUACUGCACCAGAGGGGGUGAAAGUCCUGUAGUCGAAAGUCAAAGGAUAGAAGCUGAAUCCCGAGUAGUACGGGGCACGAGAAAUCCCGUAUGAAUCAGCGAGGACCAUCUCGUAAGGCUAAAUACUACUGUGUGACCGAUAGAGAACAAGUACCGCGAGGGAAAGGUGAAAAGAACCCCGGGAGGGGAGUGAAAAAGAACAUGAAACCGUGAGCUUACAAGCAGUGGGAGUCCGAUUAAACGGAUGACCGCGUGCCUGUUGAAGAAUGAGCCGGCGACUUAUAGGUACUGGUAGGUUAAAGCGGGAAUGCUGGAGCCAAAGGGAAACCGAGUCUGAAAAGGGCGCUAAUCAGUAUUUAUAGACCCGAACCCUGGUGAUCUAACCAUGGCCAGGAUGAAGCUUGGGUAAAACCAAGUGGAGGUCCGAACCGACCGAUGUUGAAAAAUCGGCGGAUGAGCGGUGGUUAGGGGUGAAAUGCCAAUCGA
rnacentral:rRNA from 1 species